UUGGCAUGGGCGAAAGCCUGAUCAGCCUGCCGCGUGUGUGAAGAAGGUCUUCGGAUUGUAAAGCACUUUAAGUUGGGAGGAAGGGCAGUAAAUUAAUACUUUGCUGCUUUGACGUUACCGACAGAAUAAGCACCGGCUAACUCUGUGCCAGCAGCCGCGGUAAUACAGAGGGUGCAAGCGUUAAUCGGAAUUACUGGGCGUAAAGCGCGCGUAGGUGGUUUGUUAAGUUGAAUGUGAAAUCCCCGGGCUCAACCUGGGAACUGCAUCCAAAACUGGCAAGCUAGAGUAUGGUAGAGGGUAGUGGAAUUUCCUGUGUAGCGGUGAAAUGCGUAGAUAUAGGAAGGAACACCAGUGGCGAAGGCGACUACCUGGACUGAUACUGACACUGAGGUGCGAAAGCGUGGGGAGC
rnacentral:rRNA from 1 species